rnacentral:lncRNA from 10 species
CUUCACUCCUCUGUGGAGAGAGACACAGGGAUUCCUGACCAAGCUGCCAUGGAUCCUUCCCUCCUCCAGGUCUGCUAACUCCAGGCCCUCCCUGUCCAGCCACGUUGUCUGGAGGCCACCUGGCAGUCUCAUCUGGGUUGGGAGGCGUGGGGUCUCAGAGCGGGAGGAGAGAACCUCGUGGUGGGGGGAGCUAGCAGUGAGGGAGUGGGCUGUGGGGAGUCUGGGUCCCACCCCCGGGACUCUGUCAGUGGCAGGGUAGGGGUACCCAGAGCCAUGGCAGGAACCACCCCCUGCCCGCCCCCGACUAGAGGCUCAGCUUCCCUGCGUGCACCUAGCUCAGGAAGCCUUCCUUUCUAGUCUCUACAGCUGUUUCCCUCUUUUCCCAUCUCAUUCUUCCCUCUUCAUUUCUGGCCUAUCUUUUAACAUCUCCAUCCCUUUGAUGCCUCAUCCAUCUCCUCUUCACCGUCUUGUCUUUGCCUGUUCCCUUUUCUGCUUCUCUGCUCCUCUUAAGGCUGGGUUUUCCUCCUGCGUCUCCUCUGUGCGCCUGUGAGUGUCCCCUGUCUGCUCAUCCUCUCUCCCUCUGUCCACCUGUUUCUCUUUCUUCCAGCGUUUCUCCAUCUCACGCGCUGCCUCUGUCAUUUUCUCUCUUUCUUCGUCUUUCUCUCUCUCUCAUUGUUCUGAGACAUAGCAGUGCCUGGCCCAGCGGGGACAACAUGUUUCACAGACAAAUCAUCCAACAAAAGAGAGGAGGAACGUGCUUCAGUAACUCUGGACUUGGCCAUGUGACUUUCUUGGGCCAAUGGGACAUGAGCAAGCAUGAUACCAGCAGGGAUUUGAUUCUUCCUCCACCUCAGCUGAAAGGAUUCAUCUUGCAGCACGGCCCACCUUGGAACCCUUUGUGUUUGCUGAAACUUUCUUUGUGAUUAUUCUUAUGUCACUGCAUAGCAUGUAAAUGUAUCACACCCCCCCCCCACCCAUUAUUAUUAUCUCCUAGUAUGCACCAGGCACUGGCCAUAAAUUAUUUCUAAUCAUCAUUAAAACUCUACCACGGUUAUCCUCCCUCUAUGGAUAGGAAAACUAAGGCUUGGAGGUUGAAGAGGUCAUGGAUCUUGUCCAAGGUCACUAAACUCAUAAAUGUCACAGUCAAAAUUUGAAUCUAGAUAGAGUUGUCAGCUCCAAAGAAGUUUGCUCAGUCAGUUCUUCCCCAAAUUAGCUUUUUAUCCAAAUUUGCUGAGAAGCUUUUUAAAAAUACAUCUUCUUUACAACAAAGCCAGAGAAAGAAUAAGGCAGCUCUCUGCACAACAAUAUGGUGCUCGUAUAUGCCUAGAACAUCUCCAGGAAGAAGGGCCGGUACAGGACCAGGUCAGCCUGUCCUCAUUACAUCAGCAGGGUGAGCCAAGGGAGGUUGCCUAAAAAUUCAACUGGCUGUCCCCAUGCCUUCUGCUCCCGCUUCUGGAAGGGAAGACAGGGCAGGGACCAUGUCCAGCUGCAGAAAAUCCCAGUGUUUUUCUGUGGCAUUGCCUGGUAAAGGCUGAACGUGGCUUUCGUGAGAGCUAAUCUGCCUGCCCAACCAGAUUGUGCUGUGGCUAAAAUUGCUGUGAGCUCGACAGUGCCUGAAGACUGGAGAAAACUGAGCCAUGUCUUGGAUGCUCUUGCGGGGCCUAGGGGAGUGCCAGGCCAGAAGGAGAACUGCCUGUGGACUCUCAGUAGGAAAGCAGCUAACGAGGUGAUGAGUGAGUGUCGCCUGGAAGUCUGGGGGCCAUUCCAUGUGGGUCACAUCGCCUGACCAGAGGGUUGGGUGCCUGGACAGGGCUGAGCUUGGGACUCCUUCCAGGGCCUGGCCUCAGCUGCUGGGCCUGCCGAGCAUGCCCCACAAGCACCCACGCACACAUACAAGUAUGGAGGCAGAGUGGAAGUUUGACUUUUGCAGAUCUCGUACAGCCUGGAGUAGAGAAGAGAAUUGGGAACUCUCAAUGUUGUGUGACCCUAGGCAAGUCCCUUCCCUGCCUUGUGCCUCAGUUUCCCUUUACAUACCAUGAGGAUGUUCCCAGUGUUGGUGUUUUAAUGCCUGCAGACAAGCUAAGCUCAUCAUCUGGUUCCCGGAAGAGAUCCUCCUUUUGUGGAAAGGCCACAGCCACUCUGCCACCCUGAGGCUCCCACUCCUCCUUCUCUGGAACCCUCUCCCUUGCCUGUAGGUCACGGGAAUGUCAAGAGCACCCAGGGAAGUGCCUGCUGCCAGUCAUCACUCACUGAUUAUGUGACAGCAGAGGAGCCAAGAAGCUGCUGGGAAUCGAGACACCCCCCCAUUCAGUCCCCACCAUCUCUGUCUUCAUGAGGUUCCCUGGGAGAAGCUCCUAUGUCUGGGAAUGGAAAUGUCUCCACCUGGAUAGGGACAAACAGGAGCUGGGGGCUGCAUCUUAAGACUUCUUGUCCCAUUAGUGCUGACCUCUGGAGACGGCUCCUGAAUUGUGCCCACUCCCCCACCUCCUCACCACACACAUGCUCUGGGCCGUGCGAGGCUCAGCUUGUCACGGACAAGCUAAAAUGAGGUGGCCUGAAUGCCCCUUAUCAUAGACAGCUUAUCUCCUGUGGUCACUCACCUGACAGACUCCAGAGAGCCACUCAGCGGGCCUCUCCCAGCCGCCUGCUUCUCAGCUCUGACUCUCCCUUGCCUUAAGGGGACACUGGAUUCCAGUGACCCUCCUAUUGGUCAGAGUUGGGCUGAGCACAGAGAAGGGGUAGAAUGCUCCUGGGAACUCGGAAAGCUCUGGGAUGCCAGCUUUUCCCACAUGUUCUCACUCACCCCUCUGUAAUACAGAUUCUGCAGCCCUGCCCCCCACACACACACUCCUACACCUCUGCUCUCAAAGUGAAGAAGUAGGCUAAUAUCUGUGGUACAUUUAUUUACCUACUCCCUGAGACUGCAGCUCCCUUAGUCAGUGUUGUGUCCUCCACUCAGGCUGGGGCUCCCUGAGGAUGGGGCUGUGUCUCCCCUCAGACUGGGGUUCCCCAAGGACAGGGCUGUGUCUCUCCUUAGGCUGGGGUCCCUGAGGGUGGGGCUGUGUCUCCCUGCAGAUUGGGGCUCCCUGAGGAUGGGGCUGUGUCUCCCUGAAGACUGGGGCUCCCUGAGGACAGGGCUGUGUCUCCCCUCAGGCUGGGGCUCCUUGAGGAUGGGACACUUUAAAGAAGAGAAAUUGACAGGUUGACCCUGGGGGAUCUUUGGGUCAAUAAAACAUUCUAUAGACCCUCAGUGGUCAGACUAGGAUGAUACCUUGA